rnacentral:rRNA from 1 species
GACGAACGCUGGCGGCGUGCUUAACACAUGCAAGUCGAACGAAGAGCGAUGGAAGCUUGCUUCUAUCAAUCUUAGUGGCGAACGGGUGAGUAACGCGUAAUCAACCUGCCCUUCAGAGGGGGACAACAGUUGGAAACGACUGCUAAUACCGCAUACGAUCUAAUCUCGGCAUCGAGGAUAGAUGAAAGGUGGCCUCUACAUGUAAGCUAUCACUGAAGGAGGGGAUUGCGUCUGAUUAGCUAGUUGGAGGGGUAACGGCCCACCAAGGCGAUGAUCAGUAGCCGGUCUGAGAGGAUGAACGGCCACAUUGGGACUGAGACACGGCCCAGACUCCUACGGGAGGCAGCAGUGGGGAAUCUUCCGCAAUGGACGAAAGUCUGACGGAGCAACGCCGCGUGAGUGAUGACGGCCUUCGGGUUGUAAAGCUCUGUUAAUCGGGACGAAAGGCCUUCUUGCGAAUAUUGAGAAGGAUGGACG